rnacentral:rRNA from 1 species
AAGGGCCGCGGUAUCUCUGACCGUGCGAAGGUAGCAUAAUCAGUAGUCUUUUAAUUGAAGGCUUGUAUGAACGGUUGGACGAAAAAUGUACUGUUUGAGCAAAAUUUUUGAAUUUAACUUUUAAGUGAAAAGGCUUAAAUGGGUUAAAAAGACGAUAAGACCCUAUAAAUCUUGACAUUUUUUUUUACUUUAUUGGUUUGUUAAAAUGAGUAUUAUAAGUGGUUGUGUUGGGGCAACAAUAGUAUAGUGGCAUUAAUUAUUAGUGUGAUAAAACAAAAAGAUUGUUGAGGAUCCUUGUUAAAGAUUAAGAGAUUAAGUUACUUUAGGGAUAACAGCGUUAUUUUUUCUGAGAGUUCUUAUCGAAGAAAAAGAUUGCGACCUCGAUGUUGAAUUAAAAAAUCUCUUUAGUGUAGUCGUU